rnacentral:rRNA from 1 species
AGCAGCCGCGGUAAUUCCAGCUCCAAUAGCGUAUAUUAAAGUUGCUGCAGUUAAAAAGCUCGUAAUUGAAUUUCGGGACCAUCAUGUCGGUCGUGCCUCGGUACGUACUGGCAUUGUUGGUUUCUCCCUUCUGACGAACCAUGAUGUCAUUUAUUGGUGUCAUGGGGAAUCAGGACCGUUACUUUGAAAAAUUAGAGUGUUUAAAGCAGGCUCGCGCUUGAAUACAUUAGCAUGGAAUAAUGAAAUAGGACGUUUGAUUCUAUUUUGUUGGUUUCUAGGAUCGACGUAAUGAUUAAUAGGGAUAGUUGGGGGCAUUAGUAUUCAAUUGUCAGAGGUGAAAUUCUUGGAUUUAUUGAAGACUAGCUACUGCGAAGCAUUUGCCAAGGAUGUUUUCAUUAAUCAAGAACGAAAGUUAGGGGAUCGAAGACGAUCAGAUACCGUCGUAGUCUUAACCAUAAACUAUAGCCGACUAGGGAUCGGAUGAUGUUUAAUUUUUAAUGACUCAUUCC